rnacentral:lncRNA from 1 species
CAGUGUGUCUGUGUGUGUUUGUGUCUGUGUGUGUGUGCGCGCGUGCGCGCGUGUGUGUGCGCGCGUGUCUGUGUGUCUGUACUGCGCGCGGGCGGGCGCGUGUGUGUGUGCGCGCGGGGGCUCCAGUGCAGGAGCCGCUGGGUGUGCGUGCGUGUGUUAUGGGUUUGAUUCCAGAGCAGGUUGCACAUUGGUCCUGGGUGGCUCGCAGGCUCAGGUCGUGCUUGGGCGUCCUCCUCCUAAUCGUUUCCGAAGUAGCAGCAGCAGCAGCAGCAGCACCAGCAGCAGCAGCCGCCGCGGCAGCAUCGCAGCAGCUCAGCGGCACAGCCGGCAGAACUGUGCAGAAGCGAGCACCGUUUGGGGAGUCCGGGGGGCGGCAGUUACAUCCAGCUGUUUAUUGCCUAAGCAUUCUGGGGCUUGCUUCGUCACUUGGCUUUGCUGUGGAGCACUCCUGUAGAGCUUACUGAAUUGCAUAUUGAAGAUCCACCCGUUUGGUCUCCCGCUAUGCUUGUUUGUAAACCGCAAAUGCAGUCGCCAAGUCAGAUUCAAACCCUGUGCACUAUCGAGGCCCUCUCGAUCCUUCCCCUAUCCUAAACUCCCUUCUGGACGACUGUGAUACUUAUCCUGAUUCCUAAGCAUGUGGACAUUCUUCAGCCUCUGCUAGGAGUGUCUUUUCCCUCCUUGGCCCCCUGAAGAAUAGCUGCUUAUUCCUUGCAUCUCAG